rfam:Schistosoma mansoni strain Puerto Rico chromosome 2, complete genome
GCACUGCUGAAGAGUCCCAUAAUAAGACGAAAAGGCUAUCCAGUAC